GAAAAGGAUUGGCUCUGAGGGC
rnacentral:snRNA from 1 species